UUUUCAGAGGAACUUGUUUUUUAAUCGAUAACCCGCGAAUAAUCUUACUUGCCCUAUAAAGUAUAGUAAAAGUUUGUAUACCGUCAUUAUUAGGUAAUUUUUAAAGAAUAAAUUACUAGAAAUAAAAGUUUAAGUAAAUUAGAUCAUGGUGCAGCUUAUGGGUAAGUUAAAAUGAGUUACAAUAAAUUAUUUUACACGAAUAAAUAAGAGAAUUAUUAUUUAGAAGGAGGAUUUGACUGUAUUUUAAAUUUAAUAUGUUUAAAGGAUGUUAGCUCUAAAUUAUGU
rnacentral:rRNA from 1 species